GAGCACAGCACACACAGAACCUGGGAUGGCACCGAGUUUUUCCACGUUUGAGAAGUUGAAAGAAGGCUGGAAAAUGAUACAAAAGAAAGAAAAAGAAGACAGGGGGCAAGUGGUAAUAAGGGGAAAGACUAUGUACUAUGUGGGUAUUUCCAUGCAUUGCUCCUGAUUUAAAAUCAAAGUUAUGUUUAGGAAAAAUUAAAAACUCGAGGCCCUUGUAAAGGGGCGGGAUGGGGAAGGGGGAGGAGGCAGGGGCAUCUCCCCGGAGGGGUGCCUCUGCUGUGCGCAAAGGCCUGUGCCGGGGGCUCCCUGUGUGUGGGCGGAGGGCCCGCCCGGGGCCCAGGUGGUGAAUCGCUGGCCGGGUCCAGCCAGCAGCCCCGCCUCCCGCCACGGGCGAGUCAUGGGGGACCCCAACAGGCGUUAGACCAAGUGCUCCGUUUCAGAGAUACAACCGCCGGCACAGGGAGGAGGCCGGCUUGAACAGAGAACUUUCAGAGCCUCCGCAGUCCCAGUGUGAGUUCACUGCCCUAAUCGAUGGAAACAGUGGACCUGCAAAGUGCUGCUCACAGGCUGAGUCCCACUGGCUGAUGUGUUUUCUUUAGUUUAUAAAGUGUUACAAUUUUUUAAAAAAUUAGUAGCAAAUAUUAAAAAUUAAGGGAUUUUAUACAAAAUGUCUUUGCUGUUUCCCCGAGAAGCCCGUGGCUCUGGCAGCGCUGGGUGGGCCGACACGCCCCGUCAGGCCCCAGCCUGGCAGGUCACCCUGCGGCCCCCGCCCCGCCCCCCAGCCGUCACGCGAGCGCGGCCCGUUGGCCUCGGUCAGCAGGGGAGCCUGCGUGAGGGCAACAUUUCAGGGCAGAGCCUGAAGCACACGGUCCUGGGGGAUGGACGAGGGACCGGAAGAGACUACACUGGCCUAAGAUUUCUAAAGAGGUGAGUGGAGUGGAGAACGAAAAGCAGCCCCGGGUAUGGGCAGCCUACACGUGGGUCUCAUUUCAGAGCAGAGGAGCCAGGGAAUCCAAAGCCCAGCCAAGCGACUUGAGCCGGGCGGUCAAGGGCAGAGCCGACCGACACGGGGCCCGGUGGAGGACAGGGCUCGCCGCAGGGCACGGAGGCCUGGGCCCGGCCCUGCUCCACCACCAGCCAGCCCCUGGCCGACAGUCCUCCGUCCACACCGGGGCCGUCUCCGGAUGCCACGUCAGGUACCUCAUCUGCGUCAGGCGAGACGGUUCCAGUUCCACACGGGAGGCGCUCGGGCCCCGCCCUGAGGCAGCAGUGUGGCCGAGCCCAGCAGGACACCCAGCCGACACGAGCACUGUCCCUAAGGAUCCCUGAAAUACUGGAUGAGCUGCAGCCUAGCCACAUGGAGACGAGGAGACCCGACAUUGUAAGCUCAUGUCCGGGGUCGGCGCUCACGAGAUGGGGUCUCGGCGCUGGGAAGCAGGCUGGGCGCGUCCGUUCGCUCUCCGGCCAGGAUGCCAAGGACACCCAGCGACACCACAGCCCGGGCUGCUGGCGACGGGCAGCCUCAGGCUCUGGCUGCAGGUGACUUUCCACACACACUAAGCACUGGUGCCGGGAAUCCCACGCCUCGCCUGAGAGGGACACUGCUGUUUUCAGAAGUGGUCAGCUUAGAGAAACGCGAGACCGGCACAGAGAGAACGUCUCCAGGGAGGAAGGGGGGGUGUUCGUGGUUAAGAGUAAGAGCCUCAGAACCACUUCGCUCCAUGAGAUAGAGUUUGCCGCUCAAACCUCUCGCAGUAAGUCUGGCACGCGAACACCACUUAUUUCAGCUCAAUGUUCCACCCACGCCUAAAACACUGACCGUCACCAAAUAAAACCCCUCACCCACUUUCAUGGUUUUCAGCACAUGGUGCUGGGCGGCAGAGGCCUGGGAGGGGCUGCUUGAGCUCUGCGGCUGGGGGACGCGGCCAGCUGCUGGGAGCUUCGGCUCUGUAACCCUUAAACCCAGGCAGCUUUAUCUGCUCGGCACCUAGCGAAGAGGCUGCACCUAAUCUGCACUCAGCGUCGUGGUUUCCUUCACCCACCAGGCAAAUCCACUUUGUUACAAACACACUUAAUCGACAAGAAGGUGGUUCUCUCCCGUCACAUCACUUGUCAGCUCUCCUGAGCCCGCAGGAGGUGUGUGCACCUCUGUAAAAGGGCUGAUCUUCUGCGUGAAGGGGCUCAGAGGAACGCGCUCGAAGCAGCAGAGGGCCCACCGUCACAGAUGUGACAUCGUCACUCCUGACACCAGCUUGUGAUCCGCCUCGUGGUGCCGUCCUCACCACCCAGCUCCCCAGUUUCAUGUGAAAAGAAGAAGAAAUACAAGACAACAGACUAAAGGAAGGGUCAAAAGAUGAAAAGAGAAAAACAUCAAGCUCCCGUAUUCUCUACAAUACUGUCAUUUGGGGAUUCUAUACCUCAUGAUGUUUUUCUUUCAUCCACCUGUAUGACUAUCAGCAAUAGGAACCUCUCUGAGGUCCCGUUUCCUCACCCGUGAAGUGGCGCUAAGGCCCUCCAGCCCGUUUACAGCCUCACGUGUGCAACGAGAAGCCCCCCACCACGAUGCAGGCGCAUUCCAUCUGAAUAACUCAACGCUGUUUUCUUACUUUUGAGGUACGCCUGCCCUGCCUUCAAUCCACCACAAGCACAGUCCCAUUCGAUAUGUCCCGGGUGUAUUACAAGGCACAAACCCAAAGCACUCACAUGCCGACCACCGGCAGCAGCUUACCUUCCAAUUUCUUCUCUUUGCUCAACAAGUAAAACAGGUGCCACCGCAGAGCUGCAGGACGGCCUCUGAGGAGCACGAUGCUCGGCGCCAGCUCUGCGAGCCCCUCCCUGCCGCCUCAGCUCCUGCUGUGCCCGCCUCCCCGGAGCCGUGCUCGGCGCACCCUGCUCCCUCGGUAUUCCCUCCUCAGAGCCUAGCACGGCUACAGGCCGUGAAACAAGCUAAGCAAGACAACACUUCUGUCUAACCUAUAACUGUCUCAGGUAAUCCUAUUUAGAUUUACACAGAUUUAAGUCUAGCACAAAACUAGUCGACAGCUACAAGUCGUGUUAAAACCUAAAUAAAGAUGGAUAUAAUGGUUUCACACACACACAUAUUCCAAACAAAAUAAAAAUAAAUUUUUUCUCUAAUUCCAAAAGCAACAUUCUCUGACUCCACACCUGAAGGGACUUUUUCAAAUUCAUGGUACUUUAGACCAAGUUGCUGUCCACUG